rnacentral:rRNA from 1 species
UACAGAGGGGGCAAGCGUUGUUCGGAAUUACUGGGCGUAAAGGGCGCGUAGGCGGCCUUCUAAGUCGAACGUGAAAUCCCCAGGCUUAACCUGGGAACUGCGUCGGAUACUGGAUGGCUUGAAUCCGGGAGAGGGAUGCGGAAUUCCAGGUGUAGCGGUGAAAUGCGUAGAUAUCUGGAGGAACACCGGUGGCGAAGGCGGCAUCCUGGACCGGCAUUGACGCUAAAGCGCGAAAGCCAGGGGAGCAAACGGG